UGAGGAAUAUUGGUCAAUGGGCGAGAGCCUGAACCAGCCAAGUAGCGUGCGGGAUGAAGGCCCUUGUGGUCGUAAACCGCUUUUAUCAGUGAAUAAAGUGCACCACGUGUGGUGUCAUUGCAGGUAGCUGAAGAAAAAGGACCGGCUAAUUCCGUGCCAGCAGCCGCGGUAAGACGGAAGGUCCGGGCGUUAUCCGGAAUUAUUGGGUUUAAAGGGAGCGCAGGCGGGAGUAUAAGUCAGCUGUUAAAUAUCAGAGCCCAACUCUGUUAUGCAGUUGAAACUAUAUUUCUUGAGUACGCACAGGGAUGGCGGAAUUCAGGGUGUAGCGGUGAAAUGCUUAGAUAUCCUGAAGAACUCCGAUCGCGAAGGCAGCCAUCCGGAGCGUAACUGACGCUGAGGCUCGAAGGUGCGGGUAUCGAACAGGAUUAGAUACCCUGGUAGUCCGCACGGUAAACGAUGAAUACUCGCAGUUCGGUCUUUAUGAUCGAGUUGUCCAGCGAAAGCGUUAAGUAUUCCACCUGGGGAGUACGCCGGCAACGGUG
rnacentral:rRNA from 1 species